CCCGGACGCCCCGCGCCCCGGGAGGAACCAGCGGAGAAGCCCCGGAGCGCUACAGACGUUCGCAACCAUUUGUCUAACCUUCAGAAAUAAGCAAAAUUAAGCAAUAUAGCGUUUAGGUGUAUGUGGUAAAGCGCUUUAAAAAGUCGGAGGAAGGGUAAACGGAGUUCGUUAGUAGUUAGGUUGGAGAGAGGCUGGGGGCGGGAUGCGGAAGGACGGGUGGGUGCUGCCGGCAGCCCUCGGGUAACUGGGUUCAGUGGUAGAUUGAUGGGUAUUUCACUGUGGUUUCUGUAUAAUACAUGGGAUGGUUACUCUCUUACAUGUGUGGAUGAUUUUAAAAUGAACUUGGCGGGCGCCUGGGUGGCUCAGUCGGUUAAGCCUCUGACUCCUGAUACCCACUCAGGUCAUGAUGUCAGGGUGGUGAGAUCGAGACCCAAAUGCAGCCCCUGGGCAGUGCGGAGUCUGCUUCCGUGUCUCUCAAAGCACUCUACACCUGUAUGAAUUGAUUCUUACAACAGCCCUUCAAGAUUUUAUCUCCCACCUGCAAGAUGAAGAAACAGAACCAAAAGUUACCUGAGGCUAGCGGGACAAAGACAGGAAAGGUGAGCGUGCGGAAGGCCAGUGGGGAACCCCACGUGGUUAAAUGUCCGGUGUGCCACGCACUGUGCCUGGGACAGAGUGCAUGGUCAGUAAGCACUUGCUGAGUGGGUGAGUGACUGGACUCUCUCAUUAUGUGGGUGUCUCAUAGUGUAGGGAGCUGCCCUGGAGGCAGGUGGGUGCCCGCACAGCAGCUGGCUGGCCAUUGUCAGGGUCAGGAGCACCAGAGAAGCUGUUUUCUCUCUGGGCAAAGUUUGGAUGCAAGUCACCUCUAAGGCUCUGUGAGUCUGUCAGCGCCUGGAGACAAGACCAUAUUAAGAUAAUAAGGUUCUCCGCCGCAGUGGUGCAAGCAGUCACCAGAGAAAGGCCUGGACAAAAGACGUUUUGAAAGGAAAGCUGUUGCUGGAACAGGUGCGAGGUGUGUUGUAGGUGUGUGUACUGUUGCAUGUUGUCGCACGUGGCUACGGGAUGCUGACCCAUCCCAGCGGGAGGAACGGUGGAGCUGCUUACUGGGUAAAGCGAGGUCGUCAAUGAACCUCGAUUCAGAAACGCCUGUGGGGAGUGCUCAAGACAAGCCAGAGUCCGUGGGAAAGAGCACUGGAGUGUGAGUUAGGAGACCCGGUUUCUAGGCCUGUCACCUUGGACAAGUCACUUCAGCUGUCUGAGCAUUUUUGCUCCAAUGUUAUAGACCAUCUACACACAACGAGAACUAAAAGGAACAAAGGCCCCAGCCCCUUCUCACUCAUACAGUUAAAUAGAUUUCCAUCACUGGGACUUGGCUUUCCUCCGUUGUCCCAUAAUACAUUCCUGGUGCUGGGACUCCUGUGUUGUAGCCUGUGUGCACAUGCGGGGAGUGCGGGCUGACCCAGGUUCCUGCUCCCCGCAGUGCCACGCACAAGAGCUC
rnacentral:lncRNA from 1 species